UACGUAGGUGGCAAGCGUUGUCCGGAUUUACUGGGCGUAAAGAGCGCGCAGGCGGUCGUGCAAGUCGCGUGUGAAAGCCCCCGGCUCAACUGGGGAGGGUCACGCGAUACUGCUCGACUCGAAGGCAGGAGAGGGAAGUGGAAUUCCCGGUGUAGUGGUGAAAUGCGUAGAUAUCGGGAGGAACACCAGUGGCGAAGGCGACUACCUGGCCCACUCUUGACGCUGAGGCGCGAAAGCUAGGGGAGCAAACGGG
rnacentral:rRNA from 1 species